CAAUGGCUAGAGGAGCUCCCUUCAGUCCAAGCACAGAAAAAGUGGGAUGUAGAACUAUCUCCUGCAUCAUUCACUCAGUCACAGUAGCAAAAAACUUUGUAUUCUACUGAGUGAUUAAAUGAAUGAGUCAGCAGCUAAUUCAACCCCUAAUCUCGUCCAUGAGUGGACUGAAGUAAGCUCUCGUAGACCAUUUC
rnacentral:pre_miRNA from 1 species